GUGAGGAAUAUUGCGCAAUGGAGGCAACUCUGACGCAGCCAUGCCGCGUGCAGGAAGAAGGCGCUACGCGUUGUAAACUGCUUUUAACCGGGAAGAAACCCCAGGACGUGUCCUGGGUUGACGGUACCGGAGGAAUAAGCACCGGCUAACUUCGUGCCAGCAGCCGCGGUAAUACGAAGGGUGCAAGCGUUAUCCGGAGUCAUCGGGUUUAAAGGGUGCGUAGGCGGAGCGUUAAGUCAGUGGUGGAAUCCUGCAGCUUAACUGUAGACUUGCCAGUGAUACUGGCGCUCUUGAGUGCGCUUGAAGUAGGCGGAAUGUGCCGUGUAGCGGUGAAAUGCUUAGAUAUGGCACAGAACACCAAUUGCGAAGGCAGCUCACUAAGGCGAUACUGACGCUGAGGCACGAAAGCGUGGGGAUCGAACAGGAUUAGAUACCCGAGUAGUCC
rnacentral:rRNA from 1 species